UAAAAAUGUGUUUUCACAGUUAAGUUUGUAUUUUUUCAGGUGCCCACUCUGAAGCCCCUGCCCCCAAUGAACUACUCAUCCUGUCUUCCAAACAGUUCCAAUGACCGAUUUUCCAGCGGCAUGCCUGGGCCAUCAAGAUUCUACAAAUGAACACUCAUCUGUUGGAUGUAACCAAGACCUGGAUCCAGCCUGUUUUCGACAUGGCUUUCUUGACUUUGUUCAUGACCAAACACUUUUUUUUUCUUGCCUUUUAGGUCAUUUUUGUUUUUACAGUGUAUACAUAGGUAGAUUUAUUUUAAAUGUUUAAUUUUUCUCUUUUUUCGCUCAGACAAACAUUUGUGUGCAGUUAUUUGUAAUAGCAACAAUUUUUAGUGAGUGAUUUAAACAGUCUUUAAGCGGUCAGUCAAAUCUUCAAUGUGACAUUUUGUUGUAAAUGUCUGUUGCCAUAGUUGUAAAAUAAACUCAUAGUUCCUCAUUGAA